GGGGAGCCCGGCGCGCCUUUCCCAGGAAAACAAGAAGAGGCUGCUCCCGGGGCGCGGGAGAUGAGUCACUCCUCAGUUCAGCAAGGGACUGCCCUUCGGACCAGGUGAAGAAAAAGCUCAGCAUGACGGAGCUACUUGCUGGCUAGCAUCUAACUGCUGAGAGGCAAAGCUGGAACUCAAACCCAGGUCUGUUCCACCCAGAGACUGCUCGUAUUACCUCUACUCUGCUCUCCUUCCCUGGUGGUGGCUUCUGAAUUGCUCCUCCUGGUUACAGCCCCAAGACCCUGAACUACAGUUCUGGAGCCCUCAGCAGACACUGAUGCUAUAACUCUAUUAAGAGCAUAAAUUACUCUUCCCCAUAGGCCACCACAGUGCCUGUGAAGCACCAGCCAGGCUCCAGUAACAUUUGCUGGCACACCCAGCCAGGCUGCCAUGGGAGAACUUUAUGCCCUGCCUACUGCUAGCAAAUUCUCCCCACCAAACUGAUUGUUUAGGGCACUGUGGGCUUAUCGUGGGAGUGUCUUUAUUUUCAUUGCUUCUCUUCUUCCCUGCAGGCUAGGGGUCUAAUCUGAGCUGUAGCCACCAGCCUAUGCCACAGCCACAGCAACAUCAGAUCCGAGCCACGUCUGCGACCUAUAGCACAGCUCAUGACAACGCCGGAUCCUUAACCCACUGAGCAAGGCCAGGGAUCAAACCUGCGUCCUCAUGGAUGCUAGUCAGAUUCCUUUCCACUGAGCCACAGCAGGAACUCCUUUUUAUGGCACCUGCAGCACACAGUUCCUCGGCCAGGGGUUGAAUCCCAGCCGCACCUGCGACCUCAGCUGCAGUCACAGCAACACCGGAUCUGAGCUGCCUCUGUGACCUAUGCUGCAGCUUGCAGCAUUGCUGGAUCCUUAACCCACUGAGGGAGGCCAAGAAUCGAAACCGCAUCCUCACAGAGACAGGGCCAGGUCCUUAACCUGUUGAGCCACAAGGGGAACUCCUUAAAUAGGAAUUAAUAUUUAUAUAGCAUCCUCUGUGUCUAAGGUGCUGUGUAACUUUGAAAAGGUUUUUAUCAUUUUUGGACCUCCAUUUCAUCAUCAGCUAAAGUGGGGAGAAUAGGAAAUGGGAUUGCAAAUAGCAAAGCCUCAGAGCACAUGUUAACUCCAUGCUCAUUUUCUUUUCUUUUCGUCUUUUUAGGGCCACACCUGUGGCAUAUGGAGGUUCUCAGGCUAGGGGUUGAAUCGGAGCUAUAGUCACCGGCCUACACCUGAGCCACACAACUUGGAAUCCAAGCCACCCUGUCUGGGACCUACACCACAGCUCACAGGAAUGCCAGAUCCUUAACCCACUGAGGGAGGCCAGGGAUCGAACCUGUGUCCUCAUGGAUGCUUAUCUGGUUUGUUAACUGCUGAGCCACGGCAGGAACUCCUCAUUUUCAUAUGUAUAUAUGUGCUCAUUUUCAUAUGUAUAUAUUUGCAUUUAAUUCUCAUGAUUCAGUAGGUUAUUAUGCCCAUUUGACAGUUAGGAAAACUGAGAUGCCCAAGCUAAGUUACUGGCCAAAGACUACACAGCCUAAUAGAAUUAGAGCCUGGAUCUCUGGCUGUGGGCCCUUAGUCUUCCAUGGAUGGUGUGCUGCAGGUUACAUGAGGCCUCGUCUACAGCAAGCACUGAAACAUGACUAUUUUCUGGCCUAAAAUUCAUGCCCAUGCCUAAUUGGCAAUUUUCUGCUCUUUUCUGUGCUCCUUGCUGAGGUAGAUACUUGUUUCCAAGGCUGGAGUAACAAAGUCAUCAUAAGAACUGAGUGGCUCAGAACAACGGAAAUGUGCUAUCUCCCAGCUCUGGAGGCCAGGAGUCUGAGAUCAAGGUGUCACAGGGCGCUGCUCCCUCUAACCUGUACUGGGGGAUCUUUCCUUACCUCUUGAAACUUCUGGAACCCCUAGAAGUUCGAUGGCUUGUGGCUGCAUCACUCCAAUCUUCCCAUGGUGUUCUCCCUGUGUCUCUGUGCAUCCUUUUCCCUCUGUGCAUGGCUGUCUAUGUGUCCAAUUUUCCCCUGCCCUCCUUUUUUUUGGCCACACCUGGGGCAAGCAAAAGUUCCCCGCCCAGGGAUUGAACUGUGCCAUAGUAGUGACUACACCGAUUCUUAACCCACUGAGCCACNGCCCCCCCCCCCCCCUUUUAAGAACCAGUUUUUUUAUUUGACCAUUUCUUGCAUUCGAAGUCCUCCUCAAUGACAUCCUUGGCCUGAGAGUCUUCGCCAUAGUCCUUCACCACCACACUACUGCAACCAACCACUUUACAGGGUUUUCCCUGUCUGUCAGUUUUACAGAGGCCUACCCAUUCCCCUAGUUGCUUGUUGUCAUCGCCAUAAUUAGGUUGAUCUGGUGCUCAGCACAAAGGGCAUGAGCUCAUCACAGUUGAUGGAAGCACACAAAGACGGGCUUGGCGUUUGUCUAAGGUUUUGGCAGCUUGGUGAAUUCCACGGGCUAGGCCAUCAUGGAUGAGGCCGGUCUUCAGCACCUCUUGUAGAGCAGUAUUAAUGUCCAUUACACCUCCAGCAGCAAUGCCUUCCUCAGCCAGGUCCGUGGGUUAGGGGCGGAGCCAAAUUUUGAGUGCACCUAAGCCUCUGUCUCCGCAGGACUCGGUGGUGGCAGGGAAAGAGAAGAUUCCCCUUUUUAUGAGGACAUCACUUAUGUUGGGUUAGAGCCCACCCCAAUGACCUCAUUUUAACUUGGUUACCUCUGUAAAGACCCUAUUUCCAAAUAAGGUCACAUUCUGAGGUGUUGGGCUUACGACCUCAGUAUCUUUUUUUGUUUUUGUUUUUUUGCCUUUUCUAGGGCUGCUUCCCUCAGCCUAUGGAGGUUCCCAGGCUAGGGGUCUAAUCAGACCUGUAGCCGCCGGCCUACGCCAGAGACACAGCAACACCAGAUCUGAGCCGCGUCUGCAACCUACACCACAGCCCACAGCAACCCCUGAUCCUUAACCCACCUGAGGGAGGCAGAGAUUGAACCUGAGACCUCAUGGUUCCUAGUCAGAUCCAUUAACCACUGCGCCACAAUGGGAGCUCCUCAGUAUCUUUUUUUUUAUGGGACACAUAUGGGAAAACACUCCUGUGUUUCUCCUUUACUUUCACACUCACAAUACUUCUGACACCACAUGCCUGGUUUUCCACACCAAGCAAUUCUCUGGGACACCAGCUGCAUGUCCUAUAAUUCAAUUCAAUUCUGACACUAACUAGAGUUAGUACAGACCCCACAGAUUACUGCUUAGUUCCACAAGACUGCCCCCGGCUCCCGCCCCGGGUUUCAGGUGCCAAUGGGAAGUCCAGGUUGUAAUCUAAACUUCUGACUGACAGGUUAUAAAUCGGGGACCCUGUGACCUCCUCCCUGGGUUAGAGAAUUUGCUAGACUGGCUCACAGAACUCAAGCAAACACUUAGGUUAACCAGAUUUUUAGUUAACAAAGGACACAGAUGAACAGGCAGAUGAAGAGAUACCUAGGAUGAGGUCUGCAGUGGGUUUAUGCAGGGAGCAGGAGUUUCUGUUCCUGUGGCAUUGGGGUGCACCACUUUCCAAGCACAUGGACGUGUCCACCAAACUGGUAGUUCUGUGAACCCCAUGCUUUUGGGCUUUUUAUGGAGGCUCCCUCAUGUAGGCAUAAUCUAUCAUAAACUCAGUCUCUAGCCUCUCUCCCCUCCCAGGAGGAUGGGGGCUGGGUCUCCAACCUUUUGAUGAUGGCUUAGUCUUCCUGGUAACCAGCCCCUAUCCAGGAGCCCCACAAGCUUGGCCUCAUUAGAGCAGAAGAUGUUCCUAUCACCCAGGAAGUUCCAGCGGGUUUAAGAGUUCUGUGUCAGGAGCCAUAGUCAAAGACCAAAUAUUCAUAUUCAAACAAAAAAGGGCUCCUAGUGCUUUUAUCACUUAGGAAAUGACAAGAAUUUUAGGAGCUCUGUGCCAGGAAUGAGGGGGCAGAGACCAAAAAAAAAAAAGAUUUUCUAUUAUUUCACAGGAUGAAAUUCAACCCAAAACGUUCCCUUUCUAGGAGUGGGCCCCAGGAGCUGUAUUUAUGUCAGGGUUCCUUGGGAGGUUCAUGGAAAUCACAUUUCUUUCAGGAAGGAUGCAUUCUGUAAACUUUACAUGAUUCCAAACUUUGUCUUCCAAGACCCAUUUUUCCCCAUAGGAAUGAAUGUGAAAUAGACGAUGAAAUGUGCUCCAUACAGCUCAUAAAUCUACAACCAUCUUGUCAUAUUUUUGCCUUUGAUGCUGCUUCGUAUGUUUGUAGCCUUAUCUCUACCUGCCAGGGCGGUGGUUCAGUCUUCGUGGUGUUUAUCAUGUCCAAGAUCUACUCCAAAGUAUUGAUUGGGGGUGUGGUUUUCAGCAGUAGGUGUUUCAACUUUGUGGAUGAUGUUGAAUAAUGUUGUUACAGCUUUUUUAAGUGGUCUAUAAUGGCAAUGAAUGGCUGGCAAGAUAACAGCUCAGUAGUCACACGAAGCAGUUGCUAGAGUCCAAAGCACACUAACAGCUGUGUGAUUUGUUCAAUAAUGACAGAAAGGGUGGCUGGUUAGCUCCGUGGUGCUAAUGUCACAGAACGUAGUCUGUUCUCGGCUGUAGAGACGCCGCCUUGUGGCAGCAGCGUAAACACAAUUUAUAAUUCAUUCCAUCCCAACAGCUUUGAAAUUGUUCAAUAUGCUUUCCUUUUCUGGUGUUUGUAUGAUUUCCAGUUUAGACACGGAGUGGCGCUUUGAGAGUGUUUUUAUGUGGCACUGUGUCAAGGACACAUAAUUCAUAUCUGCAGAUGAUGCAUACUACAGAAAGGCUGGGAUUUGGCAGUGGGGCUCAUACCCUAGCUGAGACAUAAAAGCUUUCUUGUCCCUGCCACUGCUGUGUGGGGUCUCCUAGGAGCUGGAGAAUGCAAUUCUCAGAAAGCAGUUGGGCCCGAGUGUGAAAGCCCAUCAAUAAGGAGCAGGUGACAUUGCCACAGCUGGGUAAUUUGUCUCUUUGCUCUUCUGCAGCCCAUUCAGUGAUGAUCUAUUUGUCCCAGGGAAUAGAUGAUGGCAGGUUUGUCCAUAUUUUACACUUAUGAACCUGCCUGCUUCUUUUUGCUCAGCUGUGCCCAUCUGUCUUUGUCCCUGGCUCCUCUCAUUUCAUUUCACAGAUUGGGCAGUAGGUCUUGGCAACGAGUUACGAAGGUCGAUUCCAUGAGGGCAGCUUUGGGAAAGGAGGGAGGGAGGAGAAGAGAUGGGUCAGCUCCCUACAGAGAGAGGAGGAUGAAAGAGAUGUCACAGACUCAGUGGUGGGCAGGAAGGGACCUCAGAGAAGGAGGGGAGCCAUAGAUCCUAGGACAGAAGAUGGCAAUUCUGGGGAGGCUUGCUAAUAGAUGGCUUGAAGGGCUGAGUCCAAUGCCAGUCACAAAGUUGAGCCUAGUGCAAAACCUAAUUGUGGUAGCCAGCAUGCAGGAAUCUUACAUAUUGGUAUUCACACCUCUGUCAUGCCCCCUUCCCACUGCAGGGAUGAUAUGUGUAACCAAUGGAAUAUGCAAAAAUGACAGUGUGACUUCUAAGGCCAAGUCAUAAAAGUCCUUGAAGGUUCCACCUGACUCUCUUUUGGAUCACUCACCUGCCAUGUGGUGAAGACACCUAAGCAGCACCUGGAGAAGCUCACUGGCAGGGAACUGACACCUCUGCCCAACAACCAGCACUGACUUGCAGGUGUGUGAGUAACCUACCUUGGAAGCAGAUCCCACAGCCUCCAUCAGGCCUUCAGGUGACCAGAGUCCAAGCCAACAUCUUUUUUUUUUCCCCCGUUCUUUUUAUGGCCACACCUGCAGCAUAUGGCCACACCUGCAGUUCCUGGACUGGGGGUCAAAUUGGAGCUGCAGCUGCCAGCCUACGCCACAUCUUGUGGCAACGCCGGAUUGAUCCUUAACCCACUAAGUGAGGCCAGGGGUUGAACCCACAUCCUCACAGACACUGUGUUGGGUUCUUAACCCGCUGAGCCACAACCCCCCAAGCCAACAUCUUGACUGCAACAUUGUGGGAUACCCUGAGCCAGAACCAUCCCCACUAACCACUCCUGAAUCCCUGACCUAUUUGGAACCAUGUGAGAUGAUAAAUGUUUAUUGUUUCAAGCUGCUAAAUUUGGGGGGAAUUUAUUUCACAGUAAUUGGAAAUGGUCUAAUUAUGUAACUGCUUACUUGUGGAAUUGUCCAAUAUCCAUUUGGUUGCUGCCUGGAAUGCACCGUCCAUGGAGCUAGGACCCAUUUAUACCAAGUGCUCAGUUAACCAGCAUUGCAUGUCACUGAGGGCCACAAAGACAACCCACCUGCCCUACUACUUCAAGCAAGAUAAAUGUAGUUAAG
rnacentral:lncRNA from 1 species